UGGGGAAGUCUCCUCUGGAGAUAACCCAAACCUGCCCAGAUGCUUUCCUGUGUAGCUGCUGUAGGGAACUGCUUUGAGGGGGCUGAAGUGGUAUGGAAGGACUGCUGAGAUACAGACAUUUUGUUUCCCCAUUUUUAGUUCUGUCUGCCUGCUCCUUUGAAAGAAUCUCUGGUGCUUCUUUGGCUGCUUUCCUAAGGAAAAGUUGCAGACACCUCUUCAAUGGUGGCAAUUUGUGACCGAGGAAGGAAAUCUUUAGGUACAACCAAAGAGGAGCCCACAGCCUGUGCUGCUGAGCUGUGAAAAGAGCCUUCCCUGCAAAGCCCUCUGCACAUUUCCAUGGGAACAGACACAUGCCUUUCCUGUUGCCGAGGAGACACAGUGCUGCUUUCCGAGCCUGGCGAACGGUCCCCAAAGCACUGCAGCAUCCUUAAGACAGGAGCAGUUUCACACCAGCACCUCCCUCUCCGUCCACCACGUCUAUCCUCCUCCCAUUCCCAUUUUGCAUCUGCUCUUAGCACUCAGAUGCAAUGUUUCCUUUUCUCCCAAACAAUUGGCUUUGAUAUCAGCAUUUAAAAUGACAUUGCCAACCUGAACACCUCCACGUGCCUGGACUCUGCCCUCCCUACGACUGUAAUUAUUCUUAUAUACUGAGCGAUAGCGCAGAGCAACAAUUCCCCCCUUUGGUGCCGAUCUGCACUUAGAAGCUGGGUGGCAAAACCAGCGCAUCUCUCCUCCGCCUUCCCUCACUUUCGCUAUUUUUCAGUGGAAAAUCAAAAAUAAAAACCAAA